UAGGGAAUCUUCGGCAAUGGGGGGAACCCUGACCGAGCAACGCCGCGUGAGUGAAGAAGGUUUUCGGAUCGUAAAGCUCUGUUGUUAAGGAAGAACGAGUGUGAGAAUGGAAAGUUCAUACUGUGACGGUACUUAACCAGAAAGGGACGGCUAACUACGUGCCAGCAGCCGCGGUAAUACGUAGGUCCCGAGCGUUGUCCGGAUUUAUUGGGCGUAAAGCGAGCGCAGGCGGUUAGAUAAGUCUGAAGUUAAAGGCAGUGGCUCAACCAUUGUAGGCUUUGGAAACUGUUUAACUUGAGUGCAGAAGGGGAGAGUGGAAUUCCAUGUGUAGCGGUGAAAUGCGUAGAUAUAUGGAGGAACACCAGUGGCGAAGGCGACUCUCUGGUCUGUAACUGACGCAGAGGCUCGAAAGCGUGGGUAGCAAACAGG
rnacentral:rRNA from 1 species